UACGGAGGGUGCAAGCGUUAUCCGGAUUCACUGGGUUUAAAGGGUGCGUAGGAGGGUAGGUAAGUCAGUGGUGAAAUCUUCGAGCUUAACUCGGAAACUGCCGUUGAUACUAUCUAUCUUGAAUACCGUGGAGGUGAGCGGAAUAUGUCAUGUAGCGGUGAAAUGCUUAGAUAUGACAUAGAACACCCAUUGCGAAGGCAGCUCGCUACACUAUCAUUGACGCUGAGGCACGAAAGCGUGGGGAUCAAACAGG
rnacentral:rRNA from 1 species